rnacentral:tRNA from 1 species
GCCGACGUGGUGGAAUUGGUAGACACGCUAUCUUGAGGGGGUAGUGGCGUAAGCCAUCCCGGUUCGAGUCCGGGCGUCGGCACCA